rnacentral:rRNA from 1 species
UACGUAGGGUGCAAGCGUUAAUCGGAAUUACUGGGCGUAAAGCGUGCGCAGGCGGGUUUGUAAGUCUGAUGUGAAAUCCCCGGGCUCAACCUGGGAAUUGCAUUGGAGACUGCAAGGCUAGAAUCUGGCAGAGGGGGGUAGAAUUCCACGUGUAGCAGUGAAAUGCGUAGAGAUGUGGAGGAACACCGAUGGCGAAGGCAGCCCCCUGGGUCAAGAUUGACGCUCAUGCACGAAAGCGUGGGGAGCAAACAGG